UACGAAGGGGGCUAGCGUUGCUCGGAAUUACUGGGCGUAAAGCGCACGUAGGCGGUCUUUUAAGUCGGGGGUGGAAAUCCUGGAGCUCAACUCCAGAACUGCCUUCGAUACUGGCGAUCUUGAGUCCGGAAGAGGUGAGUGGAACUCCUAGUGUAGAGGUGGGAUUCGUAGAUAUUAGGAAGAACACCAGUGGCGAAGGCGGCUCA
rnacentral:rRNA from 1 species